CUUAACCUGAAUCUAAAAAUCCGAAUGUAAGCGUCAGUGGAGUGAUCUCUUCAACCACACAUCCAGAGAGCACCACGGGCAACGUGAAGCCACAUACUAAAGAAAAUAUAGAUUCAGGAUCGUUAACAGGAGGUGUCAUCAUUUUGAUCCUCAUCCUGAUCCUGAUUUGUUUUCUGCUUGGCAUUUUAUUUAUUCUGAGAAAGAAAGCAAGGAGUUACUCAUUUGGAUUU